rnacentral:lncRNA from 1 species
CCCAUGUCCUGCUAUUGGAGGAAUGCAAGCACAGCCAGGAGUGACUGGGUUGGAUUUCUGGUCUGCCCAGGGCCUUGGAAAUGUGCCCUCAAUGCUCUCUUGGGUGAGUUUCCUUGAUGCUGGGUGUCCUGGGUGGAAAGGUCUUUGAAGUGUUCUGUGCCUGAUCUGGAAUCCUGGAGCAGCUCAAAAAUGCUUCUCUGAAGUCCAUGCGACCAACAGUUCCG